UACGUAGGGGGCAAGCGUUAUCCGGAAUUACUGGGUGUAAAGGGAGCGUAGGCGGCAUGGUAAGCCAGAUGUGAAAGCCCGCGGCUUAACUGCGAGGAUUGCAUUUGGAACUAUCAAGCUAGAGUACAGGAGAGGAAAGCGGAAUUCCUAGUGUAGCGGUGAAAUGCGUAGAUAUUAGGAAGAACACCAGUGGCGAAGGCGGCUUUCUGGACUGAAACUGACGCUGAGGCUCGAAAGCGUGGGGAGCA
rnacentral:rRNA from 1 species